rnacentral:lncRNA from 1 species
GUGGGAUCAUUGGGCGGUGGGCGGUGUGGAGGAGUCUCCGCUGGUCCGCAGAAACGAACGAAGGCGCGAGAAUCGGGAAGUUCUGCCUCAGUGACCUGUACGCGUCCUAGCCGCAGUGAAUGUUGCUGAACCCCGGUGACCUCACAGUGGAGGGGCGGCCCCAUGGGGCCAUCGGACCGCGCCGCGCGGGGGCGUUCGCCAGGGCCUCCGCAGAAGCCCGCCUGUGCCCGCAACCGCCCCGAAAUUCUCUCCCUGGCACCGUGUCCGCUUUACGGAGCCCGGAGCAAGGCUCAGAAAAAUGUCCCAGCCAAAAACAUGGUACAUGCCUGUCAUCAGUCGCUGUUGGUCGUGGCACUGAGGCCCAGAUCAUGCCACCUCCUCUAACAAGUGGCUGAGUGGACACCCCACACAUUCUACCCAAGGGCCGUGAGUGGCCAAGAUCGGGGCUCAGAAGUCUCUGAAUCUUCACAGCUGGUCACGUUCAGCUCGGUCACUUCCUGUCUGUGUUUGUCUUGGAGUAAGGAUUAUUCUCGCUUGCUGGGGUCAUGGUGUUUUGGCCUCUCCUGGCCUGGACUCUCAAAAACUCAUCAUCCUUCAUAGGUCUGAAGGCUUCUACAUUCCCACCAGCAGGUGGACCAUAUGAACUCAAAACUAGUUGUGGCAGAGGGACCCUGAAGAGAUCUACCCCUGGUGAAUGCCCCCAGGAGUGGGCUGUUCUCACACCUGGUGCCCAGCCUGUGCCCUCGCAGGUCUUGGUGCCUCCACUCAGCUCAAUUCCAGUUUUCUGGCCAUGCCCCGCUGUGUCCCUUUCUCUCUCCUUAGUGCCUAGCUGUGCAAUGUUUGCCUCUCCUUAACAUGUCCUCAGCUGACCCCAUAUCCUCAGUCCUUGCAACCCUGUUCCUCAGUGACACCUGUGUAUUCUCUCCAGUGGAGACACAGGUGGGACACCCCCAAGCUCAUGGUACAUGCCUGUCAUCAGUACCCCUGGACUGUCAUGGUGGGUCAGUCUGCCCUAGGCUGGACUGACCAACCUGUUCAUUCCCCCACAGGAUUGCCCUUUACAGUUCAUGAGUUCCCCCAACUGGAGUGCAGACAAGAGCACUGAUUGAUGGACCAGGUAGACUUGAAACCAGGAAUAGCACAAAAGUUAUCAAAGAGGCUCAGCCAUGGAGAUUGCAAGCUGGGGAUGGAAGUAUCCCUGGAAUUGAGCUGUUCUCACACCUGGUACCUGAGUUAUACCCCUGGUGUCUGGGUACCAAGGUCACUAGCCUUGCCACUUUUCUAUGUUCCUGAUCCCCUACUAAACAGUCCACCUUUUCGCCUACUUCCCCUGACUCCUGUACCCUGUCCCCUCUUUCUGCCUAGUUUGAAGACACUGGUCAUCCCAUAACAUGUCCUGGGCUAAUACAUAUCCUCAAAUCGUUCUUGAAAAUCUGUUCCUCUUCCCUCCUCCCCCUCCCCCU